GUGCCAGAAGGAUGCUGGACAGGGUUUUAAAAAAAUUCCCUCAUGUCCAAAUUCAACAUGAAGGGGGUGGUCCACUGCAGAAAGAGGCAUGUGAAAAGACUGCAUUGUUCAUUAGAGAUGCUGUGAUGACCAA